rnacentral:rRNA from 1 species
CCUACGGGUGGCAGCAGUGAGGAAUAUUGGUCAAUGGACGCAAGUCUGAACCAGCCAUGCCGCGUGCAGGAAGACGGCUCUAUGAGUUGUAAACUGCUUUUGUACGAGGGUAAACGCAGAUACGCGUAUCUGUCUGAAAGUAUCGUACGAAUAAGGAUCGGCUAACUCCGUGCCAACAGCCGUGGUAAUACGGAGGCUUCAAGCGUUAUCCGGAUUUAUUGGGUUUAAAGGGUGCGUAGGCGGUCGGAUAAGUUAGAGGUGAACUCCCGAGGCUCAACUUCGGAAUUGCCUCGGAUACUGUUCGGCUAGAGAGUAGUUGCGGUAGGCGGAAUGUAUGGUGUAGCGGGGAAAUGCUUAGAGAUCAUACAGAACACCGAUUGCGAAGGCAGCUUACCAAGCUACUUCUGACGUUGAGGCACGAAAGCGUGGGGAGCAAACAGGAUUAGAUACCCUUGUAGUC